AGAGGGCCAGCCUCAUGGAUUACUUCCAACAACAUCCGGAGGGUGCAGUACUACAUAUUUUGAUUGAUUACCAAGUGUUGGUGUACUAUACUCUUCAGUUCUUCAGAACUUUAUGAACUCGAGUGAGAUUCUCUGAAGAAAAAAGUUAAGGAGACAAUACUCAGUAUCUACUUCAAUCUCAAUUAUAAACACAAGAUGUGUGUGUGUUUUCAAGUGCAAACCUCUGGAGAUUGAUUUCACUAUCAUGCAAUACUUAAGGAUCAAGGUUUGUGGUUGAUACAUUAAAAUUCUGCUCUUUUACUUAUGGUGACAUCCCAAUGUAAAUGGAUCAUUAGGUUUGUUAUGUGCACUACCAUGACCUC